rnacentral:lncRNA from 1 species
AUUUGUACACUCAAAAUAUUGGCCGGCAAGGCCAUACAAGUGUCCAUAUGCAUGACAUCUAUCUACAAGCCUCUAAGAGUACAUAAACGUUAUAAAGGUCAGGGCAUGGCCCCGCCAUACCAAUCAAUACAUGUCCAAAUCAUACUGACCAAACAGGCAACUCCAAAGCAAAUGGCGUGCACCAACACCUUCCGCUGAGCUGAUAGCCUACUAUGAGGACUGUCAACCUAUCUAUCGGGACCUGCGGGAAUGAAACGUAGCAUCCCCAAGCAAAAGGGACAUUAGUACAAAUAAAGUACCGAGUAUGUAAGGAAUGAAAAGUAGUAUUUAAAAGACAUAAAAGAAACAUGAAGUAAAGUACUCAACCUGUAAGUCUGAAUAGCUAUGUGAAUCAUGAAACAUUUAUAAUGUUAUGCAUGGGCAUAUAAAUAUCAUAUCAUGCAUAGGUAUGUGCGUACAUAACAUCAUCAAGCCUCUGAGGGCAUCUCAUCAUAUCAUCUUGUCCUCUAUGGGCAAAAUCAUCAACGCAUACCAAUUGAUCAGGUGGUGAUGCGUAUAUAAAGCUAUAACCUUUCACCAUACCUCAUAUACAUAUAACGCUAUAUAACUCCAUGUGAUCAUGGGUCAAUGUACAUGUAUAAAUGAAUGCAAUACGUAAGAAGUAAGUCAAUAAAAUCUCUCUGGAUGUCAUAUGAUCAAUAUGGCUUCGAUUAAUAUCAUGAAAUAAACUUUAUCAACUUACGUAUUUUUUGAGACCCAUGAAUAGAUAAUAUAAUAAUAUCACAUAUAGGGAAUCAAGAACAUAGGCACCCCUAGUACUUCUAAGAAUAAAUUCAUUUGUGAAAGUUGCAGGUUUGCUCGUUUCGUUUGUAUCAUAUGGAUCAUGCCAAAAGGAAAGAAGGGAUAGCCUUAACAUACCUUUGUUGUUUACUUAACCACAUGACGUUGGUUCAGCCCGUUAGUAGUUCAAUCU